GCUCAUCGCUGCCAGGGGGCGGAGCUUCCUCGCCGGGCGUUUUAAAAACUCGAGCUGAGUAAUGUGCCUGGAGAAUACUGCAGGCAGCAAUCUAGUCCUCGAGGAGGAAGAGGAACCUUAUCUUUUUACGUGUGAGAGGACCAAUCAAAAUGAGACACAGUGGUGAGCGGCGGCAAAACGUUUGAGUUCUUCAGACUCUUCAUUGAGCUGGAUGUUUGUUCUGCUUCUGAUGGUGAAAAAGAGAGCCUGGAGCCCUUCUGCUGCAGGUUCAGUCCCAACCUCUGGUUUCUUAGAUCUCAUCAGGCACUGCCAAUACACUUCAAGCCUGUACUCAUCAUUUUUAGGGAUAGAAACAUGCUUUUUUAUUUUUUUUUAAAUUCAAGUUCCAGGAUCCGGAUCAGAACAAGGCAUGCAAUUCCUAGAAAAAACAGCCACAACAAAACCCAGUAAUAUGUAGGCAUAGAGAACCAAGCCCUGCAGAGUUCCAUUUUAGAUCCUUUGGACCUGCCAAGAAAAGAAAAAAUGUAUACUGUGAUAAUCCUGGAGGUGGAAGUGAUUCAGUAGCCAAAGCACUUUCAGACUUUAGGCUGGAGCAGGCUCUGGUGUGAGGAGCUGGAAGAUCCUGCAUGUAGAGCGAAGUAGCUAUCAACAGAGUCUUCCUGGAGGCAGCGGGAUUGUCUGCAGGAGGGAGGCAAAGGUGACCAGUUCUGCCAGAGACCAAGGAAGAUGAGUGAAGCUCUGUCUCCUUGCCUCAGUUUAUCCCUACCUUUCCAGGCUCUCCUCCUCCAUGGCUGUUGGCUUAACUGCUUCCCCCUCAGAGCCUGUACCAUUUUCAGGACUGUUAAACUGCUGCAAAAAGAACCAGGGGAGAUUGUGAUAAGAAAAGGAAGUGGGGUCAAGAAACUUAUGACUUUGUGGCCACAUCUUCUGUCAGUGCAAAAGGGAGUCUAGGUGUAUAGAUGUGCAUGAGAAUGCACAUAAACAUGCAUGUGAAACUGGAAUGGUGGAUAAAUAUAAUGGUAGAUAAAUAACACUAACAGGCUGUAAUUGUAGCAUUUCCCAUUAUGUUAGAUGCUUAUGAGGGAUGAUGCAAUCUUGAGGACCACAGCUUUUGUUUGAUAACAGUUUCUAGUCCUUCUGGAAUAAAGCUUGAAAUUUUGAACAACUAAAAGACCUUAUUCAUGAAAAUGCAUUUAUUUAACACAUUUCUGUACUGCCCAAAACACAAGUUCUCUGGGUGGUUUACAACUUGAACAACUAAAGCAU